rnacentral:lncRNA from 1 species
CUGAUUACGGAGGAGAAUUGCUUGCGAUGCUAGCCUAGGGGUGGUGCUCCUCCUAAUUAACCGGACUCACAUGCUUUCCUUGGGAGUUAGGACAAAUCGUUUUUUUCUUUUUUGAGCGGGAGUUAGGACAACUCUUCGUACAGCAGGAGACUGAGGAGAUCCUGGCUUGGAAAACAAGAGUCAAGAUGCAGAAACACAACACGAAACAUAGGGUUCUGCCGCAGCAGGGAGGAGAAGAUGGGAGGGGCCGCACGGUACUACGGUAGAGA